rnacentral:rRNA from 1 species
UACGGGGGGAGCAAGCGUUGUUCGGAUUUACUGGGCGUAAAGGGCGCGUAGGCGGCCCGCUAAGUCGAACGUGAAAUCCCCAGGCUCAACCUUGGAACUGCCUUUGAUACUGGGGAUCUCGAGUCCGGAAGAGGUGAGUGGAACUGCGAGUGUAGAGGUGAAAUUCGUAGAUAUUCGCAAGAACACCAGUGGCGAAGGCGGCUCACUGGUCCGGUACUGACGCUGAGGUGCGAAAGCGUGGGGAGCAAACAGG